rnacentral:rRNA from 1 species
UAAUCACAGGGAUUGCCCCAGUAACGGCGAAGUGAAGCGGCAACAGCUCAAAUUUGAAAUCUGGCCCCAGGCCCGAGUUGUAAUUUGCAGAGGAUGCUUUUGGCGCGGUGCCUUCCGAGUUCCCUGGAACGGGACGCCAUAGAGGGUGAGAGCCCCGUACGGUUGGACACCAAGCCUUUGUAAAGCUCCUUCGACGAGUCGAGUAGUUUGGGAAUGCUGCUCAAAAUGGGAGGUAUAUUUCUUCUAAAGCUAAAUAUAGGCCAGAGACCGAUAGCGCACAAGUAGAGUGAUCGAAAGAUGAAAAGCACUUUGAAAAGAGGGUUAAACAGCACGUGAAAUUGUUAAAAGGGAAGCGCUUGUGACCAGACUUGCGUCCGGUGAAUCACCCAGCUCUCGCGGCUGGGGCACUUCGCCGGCACAGGCCAGCAUCAGCUUGCCGUCGGGGACAAAAGCUUCAGGAACGUAGCUCUCUUCGGGGAGUGUUAUAGCCUGUUGCAUAAUACCCUUCGGCGGGCUGAGGUACGCGCUCCGCAAGGAUGCUGGCGUAAUGGUCAUCAGCGACCCGUCUUG